rnacentral:rRNA from 1 species
AUGCAACUCGUCACCUGCGGUCGGACGGCGGUCAACAUCAACGGUGAGAUCGGGCCUUACUUCCCCACCUUACCUGGGGUCCGCCAGGGUGACCCGUUCUCCCCGUUUCUGUUCAACAUGGUCGUCGAUGCCCUCGCGGUCAUCCUUGAUAAGGCCAAAGCUUCCGGCCAUAUCCGCGGCGUAGUCCCCCACCUAGUGGGUGGGGGAGGGGUCUCCCUCCUCCAAUAUGCGGACGACACCAUAGUUAUGGUAGAGGGCUCCGCGUCCGACAUCGCCAACCUGAAGUUCCUCCUCCUGUGUUUCCAACAGAUGUCUGGGCUCACCAUCAACUUCGAUAAGAGCGAAGUGAUGGUCCUUGGCUAUCCUUCGGAGGAGGCUUUAUCCAUUGCGGACCGGUUGAACUGCCGCCUGGGUUCCUUCCCCACGACUUACUUGGGGAUACCCAUUAGUGAUUCCAGGCUCACCGUUGCUGAUCUCCGCCCAACGGUGACUAGGAUGCAACACCGGGUUGAACCCUGGAGGGGGAGGUGUUAA